UACAGAGGUCUCGAGCGUUAGGCGGAAUCACUGGGCUUAAAGCGUGUGUAGGCGGAUCGGUAAGUACCUUGUGAAAUCCCACAGCUUAACUGUGGAACUGCUUGGUAUACUGCCAGUCUUGAGCCAGCUAGGGGCUACCGGAACAAAUGGUGGAGCGGUGAAAAUGCGUAGAUAUCAUUUGGAACGCCAAUGGUGAAAACAGGUAGCUGGGGCUGUGCUGACGCUGAGACACGAAAGCCAGGGGAGCAAACGGG
rnacentral:rRNA from 1 species